rnacentral:lncRNA from 1 species
GGAACGUAAAACCUAGGUGGAUAGUCUAGCGAACUAAGUCUUAGGCGACUUUUCCUGUCUCGAUACAUCGUUCCAUAACUGUUUAUCCAGAUCUUGCAAAUCGAUCUAAACUCUCCAAAAAUCGAGAAACGAUCGCCACACAUAUCAAGCUCGCUUCCUAAGGAGAGAAAAAACUAGAGACAUCAACGUCGUCUUAAAACUGAUUCGUUUCUGGCCAUUUUCUCGGAACCGACAUAUUCCAAGUUGUCAACGUGGAAACAACAAAAUCACAGUCCAAGCGUUGUCUUUAAAUCGUCCCGGAUUAUCGAUUAUUCCAAACCUCAGAAGAAGAAACGUACACAACCCUUCAAAGUAUCGGCUCAAUUGUUUUAUUUCGUAAAAAAAAAAAAAAAAAAGAGGAGUAGGUUCGUAUACUAUACUCGUUUACUCCAGAACUUCAAAAUCUUUUGCAAAUCGUCAAGAAAACGAUUUUGUCAAAGCAAAUCGUCCCAAAUAGGCAAACGACAAUCUAAAAUUCGUCUAAACGCUAGUAACAUAUCC